rnacentral:rRNA from 1 species
AACGCUAGCUACAGGCUUAACACAUGCAAGUCGAGGGGCAGCAGGAACUUAGCUUGCUAAGUUUGCUGGCGACCGGCGCACGGGUGAGUAACGCGUAUCCAACCUGCCCAUUACUCGGGGAUAGCCUUGCGAAAGUAAGAUUAAUACCCGAUGUUGUUUGAUUGCCGCAUGACGGUCAAACCAAAGAUUUAUUGGUAAUGGAUGGGGAUGCGUGACAUUAGGUAGUUGGUGAGGUAACGGCUCACCAAGCCCACGAUGUCUAGGGGUUCUGAGAGGAAGGUCCCCCACACUGGAACUGAGACACGGUCCAGACUCCUACGGGAGGCAGCAGUGAGGAAUAUUGGUCAAUGGACGAGAGUCUGAACCAGCCAAGUAGCGUGCAGGACGACGGCCCUCUGGGUUGUAAACUGCUUUUAGUUGGGAAUAAAAAGAGGGACGUGUCCCUAAUUGUAUGUACCAUCAGAAAAAGGACCGGCUAAUUCCGUGCCAGCAGCCGCGGUAAUACGGAAGGUCCAGGCGUUAUCCGGAUUUAUUGGGUUUAAAGGGAGCGUAGACGGGGGAUUAAGUCAGUUGUGAAAGGCUGCGGCUCAACCGCAGCACUGCAGUUGAUACUGGUUUCCUUGAGUGCGGUUGAGGUGUAUGGAAUUCGUGGUGUAGCGGUGAAAUGCUUAGAUAUCACGAAGAACUCCGAUUG